UUUUUUGUUUUUUUUUUGUAUUAGCUACUCUUGAGUUACGAUCUAUUAAAGCUCUACAACCAUUAUGGUCUCGCUAACCCCAUCAUCCUUGGCUCACCAUGCAAGGUAAGAUAAAUCUCACUCUAUUGGCAGUACUCACACGUACAAAAAAACGCCUUUGAUGCUAUGCAACCAUGAGUGCAAGCGGGUCCACCCAUUGACCCAUCUUUCUCUGCCUUAUCCCUUUCGCGCGGUGAUGCGAGGCACACCUCUCCUCCCCUCCCCACCUCGAAUCCACACCUUGCCGAUGAUGACCACCGCCCGCCCUGCGGGAUUCUCUUCGCGCGCGGCCGACUACUGGGCAGGCAUGCACCACUAUAGUAAGGGGCUCUUCGGACGCUCGUGGGAAGAGAAAAAGCAUGCGCUGCUGCAAACAAGGUCGGCGUUUGCGCAAUCCCCGCUCCUUGUGGCUGUGACAGGCGCUAUGGCGCCGCGGCCAUUGUUUUACCACCGGCAAGUCAGCAGCUGCAACGACCAUGGGGUGCUGCGAUCAGCACCAGCCGGUGCUGAGACGACAUCAUGAAGUGUUGCAGCUGGUGACAAAGUAUAUUGCAACCGGCGCACUGCAAAGCUGCAACCGGCGCAUAGCAAAGCUGCAACCGCCGCACCGGGUGCUACGACUGGCGUGCGAUGUGUUGGUACCAUCAUGCAGCGGUGCUGGGACCGGCACAUGGCUGAGAUGGACGAGUGCUCUGCCGUGCCGGGACCAACGAUCUGGCCAGACGCGGGGUGGAUGGGAUGUUGGGACCGUCCCCCGGCGAUGAUGCGACCGAGAAACAAGGAUGUUGGGCCGUCCUGUUAGGAUGCUACGACCGCCACCCGGCGAUGCUGCCAUUGGCGAAUGAGGAUGCUGGGACCGGCCUACGGAUAUGCUGGGACCGCUACCCGACGAUGUUGUGGCCAGCGGUGUUGCGGGUUGUGCGAAUGUUAGGUACCGGAUCGAUCUAUCGCUAGCUCACAAUAUAGUUCACGAAUUCGAAUUACAAUCCAGCCUUGCUGUUCGUGGGGAAGAAGAAGGAAGGUAGGUGGGGAAGGGAGAGAAGCCGCCGUCCAUCCUGAUCCUUCUGGAUAACUGUCUCUUUGUCGUCUAUGGCCUUAAGUAGCGAGCCGCCAGGCGAGCGGGCUCAGCGGGCCCAUUCUGGCCCAACAAAUCUUCGGUUGGGCUGCACGAUCCUCUUGGGCCUGCUGUCGACGCGCCUUGGGGUGAAGCCGAUGAUCGCCUUGGUGGUACGUGCGCUGACAUCUCCUCCUCCUUGAGAGUUGGCUUGCCCCCAAGCCAGUAUUGCCGGAAAAUGCUCGCGGAUGGACUUGGCGUCUUCCCAGGUUGCGUCAAGGAUGGACGGGUCGGACCAGCGCACGAGCACCUGUUCGCGCUGCCCUUGGGGAGUGUUGCGCCAGCGCGUGUCGAUGAUCUCGGCUGGUGACAGAGGUUCCUCCGGCGGAACCGGCAGCUUGUCUUCCACGGUGGUGUUGUUGGAGCGAGCGCGUCGUAGCUGGGAAACGUGGAAGACGGGGUGUACCUUGGCGCCGGCGGGAAGCUCGAGUUUGUAGGCGAUGGGGUUGACGACCCGGAUGAUCUUGUAUGGCCCAAAGUAGCGGAAGGAGAGCUUGUGGUUGGUGCGACGCGCCACCGUCGUCUGAACAUAGGGUUGGAGCUUGACGAAGACGGUGUCCCCCACGACAAAGGAGCGGUCCGUGCGUUUCUUGUCGGCCUGGGCCUUCAUGAUGUUGCGGGCGCGGUGGAGGUGCUCGGCCAGGACUUGUUGCAUAUGCUUGCGCUCUUCGAGCCAGUCCUUGAGAGAGGGAAUGGAGCAAGUAGAGGCCGCCUCGAUGCCCCAAUGGCGGGGUUCAUGUCCAUACAGAGCAACAAAAGGUGAGGUGCCCAGAGAUGAAUGAAAGGAGGAGUUGUACCAGAAUUCCGCGGGAGCGAGGUAUUGAUGCCACUUGUUUGGACACGCAUGCGUGAAGCACCGUAAGUAGAUCUCCAGGCACUGGUUGACUCGCUCUAACUGCCCGUUGAUACGUCUCCAAUGUAUCUAUAAUUUUUGAUUGUUCCAUGCUAUUAUAUUACCCCUUUUGGAUGUUUAUGGGCUUUAUUUUACACAUUUAUAUCAUUUUUGGGACUAACCUACUAACCGGAGACCCAGCCCAUAUUGUUGUUUUUUUUGCCUAUUUCAGUAUUUCGAAGAAAAGGAAUAUCAAACGGAGUCCAAACGGAAUGAAACCUUCGGGAGCGUGAUUUUUGGAACGAACGUGAUCCGGAGAGCUUGGAGUGCAAGUCAAGAAGCAGCCGAGGACUCCACGAGAUAGGAGGCCGCGCCCCCCUGUAGGGUGCGCCCCCUGUCUCGUGGACCCCUCGGGCGGCCACCGACGUACUUCUUCCUCCUAUAUAUACCUACGUACCCCAAAAACAUCCAGGGGCACCACGAAACACAAUUUCCACCACCGUAACCUUCUGUAUCCGCGAGAUCCCAUCUUGGAGCCUUCGCCGGCACUCUGCCGGAGGGGGAAUCGACCACGGAGGGCUUCUACAUCAACAUCUUUGCCCCUCCGAUGAGUUGUGAGUAGUUUACCACAGACCUACGGGUACAUAGUUAUUAGCUAGAUGGCUUCUUCUCUCUUUUUGGAUCUCAAUACAAUGUUCUCCCCCUCUCUUGUGGAGAUCUGUUCGAUGUAAACUUUUUUUGCGGUGUGUUUGUCGAGAUCCGAUGAAUUGUGGGUUUAUGAUCAAGUUUAUCUAUGAAUAAUAUUUGAAUCUUCUCUGAAUUCUUUUAUGUAUGAUUGAGUUAUCUUUGCAAGUCUCUUCAAAUUAUCAGUUUGGUUUGGCCUACUAGAUUGGUCUUUCUUGCCAUGGGAGAAGUGCUUAGCUUUUGGGUUCAAUCUUGUGGUGUCCUUACCCAGUGACAGAAAGGGUUGCAAGGCACGUAUUGUAUUGUUGCCAUCGAGGAUAACAAGAUGGGGUUUAUAUCAUAUUGCUUGAGUUUAUCCCUCUACAUCAUGUCAUCUUGCUUAAUGCGUUACUUUGUUCUUGUGAACUUAAUACUCUAGAUGCAGGCAGGAGUCGGUCGAUGUGUGAAGUAAUAGUAGUAGAUGCAGGCAGGAGUCGGUCUACUUGUUAUGGACGUGAUGCCUAUAUACAUGAUCAUGCCUAGAUAAUCUCAUAACUAUGCGCUUUUCUAUCAAUUGCUCGACAGUAAUUUGUUCACCCACCGUAAUACUUAUGCUAUCUUGAGAGAAGCCUCUAGUGAAACCUAUGGCCCCCGGGUCUAUCUCUUAUCGUAUUUGCUUUCAAUCUACUUUUAUUUGCAUCUUUACUUUUUGCAUCUAUAUUAUAAAAUACCAAAAAUAUAUUUAUCUUAUCAUACUAUCUUUAUUAGAUCUCACUUUCGCAAGUGGCCGUGAAGGGAUUAACAACCCCUUUAUUGUGUUGGUUGCGAGUUCUCAGUUUGUUUGUGUAGGUGCGUGGGAAUUUUGAGGAGCCUCCUACUGGAUUGAUACCUUUGUUCUCAAAACUGAGGGAACUACUUACGCUACACUUGCUGCAUCACCCUCUCCUCUUCGAGGAAAACCAACGCAAGCUCAAGAUGUAGCAAGAAGGAUUUCUGGCGCCGUUGCCGGGGAGGUCUUCGCUCAAGUCAAGACAUACCAAGUACCCAUCACAAACUCUUCUCCCUCGCAUUUACAUUAUUUGCCAUUUGCCUCUCAUUUUCCUCUCCCCCACUUCACCCUUGCCGUUUUAUUCGCCCUCUCUUUCCCAAAUCUCCUCCUCUCUUUUCGCUUGCCUUUUUUUUGCUCGUGUGUUAGUUCUUUUACAUUGUCGUUAUGGCUAGUCCUCCUAUCCUUGUUAUCACUCCCGAACAUGAAGUUCUUAAUUUUAAGCAAAGGGAGGGAAAAAAUUUAAAAGAUGCUUGGCAUAGAAUUUGCAAUGCUCAAUGUAAAUCUUCUAGGAAGCUUUCCACUUCCGUUCUUCUCCGCAAUUUUUAUGUAGGCAUUACUCCUUGGAAUAGAUGUGUUCUUGAUACUGUUGCCGGAGGUGAUUUCUUGAGUAGCCAUAUGUUUGAUGCUUAUAAUGCUAUGUUAUAUUUAUUUGGCCGACCACCUCUUUUGGUCAAUGGAACUGCUUUAACUUUGGAACACGUUAUGCAAUGGCUUGAGAUUAUUGAAAAUAAAAUUGACACCGUUGUGUUGAUUUAAAAUUUGGAUAAAAAGAUUCAUAAUCACAUUACCCAAUUUGGAUCUAGGGUUGGAGUUACUUUAAAAAUCUUAAAGAAAAAGAACCUAUAGUCAAUGAAAAAAUAGAUCUAGACUCCGCUAGAAUCGGUAAACUUGAGGAUAUCAUUACAAACUUAGGUUCCGCAUUUCCUCCCAUGAAAGAGACUCCAAAACCCUCUACUAAAACUACCAAUUUUAUUUAUGUUCCUAAAAAUAAGGGUGAAUCUUCUAGUAAGGGAGACGCGGAUCUCAAAUCCAUAAGUGUUUAUCCCAAUUGUCUCUCUAUCAUUAAGGAACCUUUUGUUACAAACGAAUUUCUUGAAUUUUUGCCUAAAGGUUUAAUCAUUGCUAAAAAGGGAGAAAUCCUAAAGAUUGUAAGUGCUCUAUUGAGGAAUUUAGUGCCAAAGAUGGCACUCGUUAGAUCUAUCUUUGCUUUUUAUGCCUAGCUAGGGUCGUUAAACGAUACCGCUAGUUGGGAGGCAACCCAAUUUUCUUUAUGUUUUUUGUUUUGCUCCUGUUUAGUAAUAAAUCUUGCAUCUACCUUAUGUUUAGAUGUGUUUUUAUCUUUUAUUUAGUGUUUGUGCCAAGUAGAACCUAUAGGAUAACCUACGAUGAUAGUUGAUUUGAUUAUGCUGAAAAACAGAAACUUUGCACGCACGAAUAUAAUUUUGUUAAAUCACAGUAACGUGAUUUUGCGUUGAUUCUUUUUUAUGAUGUUCAAUAAAGAAAUUUUCCAGGACUUCCUAUUUUGGUAGGACUUUUAGAGUUCCAGAAGUUUGCGUUAGUUACAGAUUGCUACAGACUGUUCUGUUUUUAACAGAUUCUGUUUUUCGUGUGUUGUUUGCUUAUUUCAAUGCAUCUAUGGCUAGUAAAUUAGUUUAUAAACCAUAAGGAAGUUGGAAUACAUUAGGUUUAACACCAAAAUAAAUAAAGAAUGAGUUCAUUGCAGUACCUUAUGUGGUGGUUUUGUUUUCUUUCACUAGCGGAGCUUAUAAGAUUUCCUGUUGAGUUUUGUGUUGUGAAGUUUUCAAGUUUUGGGUAAAGCUUUUAUGGACUAUGGAAUAAGGAGUGGCAAGAGUCUAAGCUUGGGGAUGCCCAAGGCACCCCAAGAUAUUCAAGAAUAGCCAAAAGCCUAAGCUUGGGGAUGCCCCGGGAAGGCAUCCCCUCUUUCAUCUUCGUUCAUUGGUAACUUUACUUGGAGCUAUUUUUUAUUCGCCACAUGAUAUGUGUUUUGCUUGGAGCAUCGUGUAUUAUAUUAGUCUUUGCUUUUCAUUUUACCACAAUUAUCCUUGCUGUACACACCUUUUGGGAGAAGCCUAUUUGAUUAGAAUUUGCUAGAAUACUCUAUGUGCUUCACUUAUAUCUUUUGAGCUUGAUAGUUUUUUGCUCUAGUGCUUCACUUAUAUCUUUUAGAGCACGGUGGUGUCUUAAUUUUGAACAAAUUGCUAGUCUCUCAUGCUUCACUUAUAUUAUUUUGAGAGUCUUUUAGACAGCAUGGUUUUAGCUAUGAUCAUAAAGUUGGUCCUAGAAUGAUGAGCAUCCAAGUUGGGUAUAAUAAAAACUAUCAUAGAAAGUGAAUUGGAUGUUAUGAUCAAUUUGAUGCUUGAUAAUUGUUUUGAGAUAUGGAGAUAGUAAUAUUAAAGUUAUGCUAGUUGGGUCAUUAUGAAUUUAAAGAAUACUUGUGUUGAAGUUUGUGAUUCCCGUAGCAUGCACGUAUGGUGAACCGCUUUGUGAUGAAGUUGGAGCACAAUUUUAUUUAUUGAUUGUCUUCCUUAUGAGUGGCGGUCGGGGACGAGCGAUGGUCUUUUCCUACCAAUUUAUCCCCCUAGUAGCAUGCGCGUAGUGCUUUGGUUUUUGAUGACUUCUAAAUUUUUGCAAUAAGUACAUGAGUUCUUUUGAGUAAUGUUGAGUCCAUGGAUUAUACACACCCUUUCACCCUUCCACCAUUGCUAGCCUCUCUUGUACCGUGCAACUUUCACCGGUACCAUACACCCACCAUACUCCUUCCUCAAAAUAGCCACCAUACCUACCUAUUAUGGCAUUUCCAUAGCCAUUCCGAGAUAUAUUGCCAUGCAAUAUUCCACCGUUCCGUUCAUAUGACACGCAUUACUUUUGUCAUAUUGCUCUUUGCAUGAUCAUGUAGUUGACAUUGUAUUUGUGGCAAGGCCACCUUCAUAAUUUUCAUACAUGUCACUCUUGAUUCAUUGCAUAUCCCGAUACACCGCCGGAGGCAUUCAUAUAGAGUCAUAUCUUGUUCUAGCUUUGAGUUGUAAAUCCAUAAAAGUGUGAUAAUUUUCAUUAUUAGAUCAUUGUCCUAGUGAGGAAAGGAUGAUGAAGACUAUGAUUCCCCCACAAGUUGGGAUAAGACUUCGGACUUUACAAAAAGAAAAAAAAGAAGAAGAAAAAAAGAGAAAGGCCAAAAAGAAAAAAAGGCCAAAGAAAAAAGGAAAAAGGAAAGAAAAAUAAAAUGAGAGAAAAAGAGAGAAGGGACAAUGCUACUAUCUCUUUUUCCACACUUGUGCUUCAAAGUAGCACCAUGAUCUUCAUAAUAGAGAGUCUCAUAUGUUGUCACUUUCAUAUACUGGUGGGAAUUUUUCAUUAUAGAACUUGGCUUGUAUAUUCCAAUGAUGGGCUUCCUCAAAGUGCCCUAGGUCUUCGUGAGCAAGCGACUUGGAUGCACACCCACUUAGUUUCUUUUGUUGAGCUUUCAUAUAUUUAUAGCUCUAGUGCAUCUGUUGCAUGGCAAUCCCUACUCACUCACAUAGAUAUCUAUUAAUGGGCAUCUCCAUAGCCCGUUGAUACGCCUAGUUGAUGUGAGACUAUCUUCUUCUUUUUUGUCCUCUCCACAACCACCAUUUUAUUCCACAUAUAGUGUUAUGUCCAUGGCUCGCGCUCAUGUAUUGCGUGAAAGUUGAAAAAAUUUGAGAUUAUUAAAGUAUGAAACAAUUGCUUGGCUUCUCAUAGGGGUUGUGCAUGAUUAAAUACUUUGUGUGAUGAAGAUAGAGCAACAGCCAGACUAUAUGAUUUUGUAGGGAUAACUUUCCUUAGCCAUAUUAUUUUGAGAAGACAUGAUUACUUUGAUUAGUAUGCUUGAAGUAUUACUAUUUAUUAUGUCAAUAUGAGCUUUUAUUUUGUAUUCAUUUGGAUCUGAACAUUCAUGCCACAAUAAAGAAAAUUACAUUAUGAAUUAUGCUAGGUAGCAUUCCACAUCAAAAAUUCUCUUUUUAUCAUUUACCUACUCGAAGACGAGCAGGAAGUAAGCUUGGGGAUGCUUGAUACGUCUCCAACGUAUCUAUAAUUUUUGAUUGCUCCAUGCUAUUAUAUUACCCCUUUUGGAUGUUCAUGGGCUUUAUUUUACACAUUUAUAUCAUUUUGGGACUAACCUACUAAUCGGAGGCCCAGCCCAUAUUGCUGUUUUUUUUGCCUAUUUCAGUAUUUCGAAGAAAAGGAAUAUCAAACGGAGUCCAAACGGAAUGAAACCUUCGGGAGCGUGAUUUUUGGAACGAACGUGAUCGGGAGAGCUUGCAGUGCAAGUCAAGAAGCAGCUGAGGGCUCCACAAGAUAGGAGGCCGCCCCCCCCCUAUAGGGCGCGCCUCCCUGUCUUGUGGGCCCCUCGGGCGGCCACCGCCGUACUUCUUCCUCCUAUAUAUACCUACGUACCCCAAAAACAUCCAGGGGCACCACGAAACACAAUUUCCACCACCGUAACCUUCUGUAUCCGCGAGAUCCCAUCUUGGAGCCUUCGCCGGCACUCUGUCGGAGGGGGAAUCGACCACGGAGGGCUUCUACAUCAACAUCUUUGCCCCUUCGAUGAGUUGUGAGUAGUUUACCACAGACCUACGGGUACAUAGUUAUUAGCUAGAUGGCUUCUUCUCUCUUUUUGGAUCUCAAUACAAUGUUCUCCCCCUCUCUUGUGGAGAUCUGUUCGAUGUAAACUUUUUUUGCGGUGUGUUUGUCGAGAUUCGAUGAAUUGUGGGUUUAUGAUCAAGUUUAUCUAUGAAUAAUAUUUGAAUCUUCUCUGAAUUCUUUUAUGUAUGAUUGAGUUAUCUUUGCAAAUCUCUUCGAAUUAUCAGUUUGGUUUGGCCUACUAGAUUGGUCUUUCUUGCCAUGGGAGAAGUGCUUAGCUUUGGGUUCAAUCUUGCGGUGUCCUUACCCAGUGACAGAAAGGGUUGCAAGGCACGUAUUGUAUUGUUGCCAUCGAGGAUAACAAGAUGGGGUUUAUAUCAUAUUGCUUGAGUUUAUCCCUCUACAUCAUGUCAUCUUGCUUAAUGCGUUACUUUGUUCUUGUGAACUUAAUACUCUAGAUGCAGGCAGGAGUCGGUCGAUGUGUGGAGUAAUAGUAGUAGAUGCAAGCAGGAGUCGGUCUACUUGUUAUGGACGUGAUGCCUAUAUACAUGAUCAUGCCUAGAUAAUCUCAUAACUAUGCGCUUUUCUAUCAAUUGCUCGACAGUAAUUUGUUCACCCACCGUAAUACUUAUGCUAUCUUGAGAGAAGCCUCUAGUGAAACUUAUGGCCCCCGGGUCUAUCUCUUAUCGUAUUUGCUUUCAAUCUACUUUUAUUUGCAUCUUUACUUUUUGCAUCUAUAUUAUAAAAUACCAAAAAUAUAUUUAUCUUAUCAUACUAUCUUUAUUAGAUCUCACUUUCGCAAGUGGCCGUGAAGGGAUUGACAACCCCUUUAUUGGUUGGUUGCGAGUUCUCAGUUUGUUUGUGUAGGUGUGUGGGAAUUUUGAGGAGCCUCCUACUGGAUUGAUACCUUUGUUCUCAAAACUGAGGGAACUACUUACGCUACACUUGCUGCAUCACCCUCUCCUCUUCGAGGAAAACCAACGCAAGCUCAAGACGUAGCACCCGUCAGUCUGGGGGUGGUACAGCGUGCUCAUGUUGAGCUCGGACCCGAUGAUCUUGAACAGUUCUUGCCAGAAUUUGCUCGUGAAUACUGGGUCUCUGUCCAAAACGAUCGCCUCUAGGAGUCCAUGGAGCUUGUAUAUGUUCUCCAGGUAGGCGUGUGCGACCUUGGCCGUCGUGAAUGGGUGGCUCAGAGAGAGGAAGUGGCUGUAGCGGGUGAAUUUAUCGACGACGACGAGGAUGCAGUUGUACUUGCCUGAAGGAGGAAGGUCAUCGAUGAAAUCCAUGGUGACCACCUUCCAGGCGCGAUCUGGCACCGGAAGUGGCUCGAGCAGACCUGGGUAGCGAACGCGCUCGGGUUUAACUUGUUGGCAGACAGAGCGGGAUUGGACGUACUGACGGGUGUGUUCCUUCAUCUUGGGCCAGGCAAACAGGCGACGCAGGCGGCGAUAGGUGACUGGCACACCGGAGUGGCCGCCCAUGGUGCUGUCAUGAAAUGCACGGAGCAUCCGUUGCUGCAGGGCGGGGGAACCACCCAGCCAGAGCCGAUCGCGGAAGUAGAGUAGUCCAUCACGCCUGGAGAAACGUCCUUUCGGGUCUGGCCGCUUGGAAAAAUCCUCCAAAAUCUUCUGAACUUGAGGGUUUGCGCUGUAGCUUGCUACGAUGUCGUCCAACCAAGCUGGGGUGCAGACUGACACAGCCGUCACGGACUCUUCUGGGGUGCAGCGCGAGAGCGCAUCAGCAGUAGUGUUUGAAGAUCCGGGGCGGUAGCAGAUUUUGUAGCGCAUCCCGAGUAGCUUGGUGAACGCCUUCUGCUGCCACAGGAUGGACAGAUGUUGAUCAUCAAGAUGUACGAGACUCCUCUGAUCUGUACGGAUGAUGAAUUCGUCAUUGUGCAGGUAAGGGCGCCAUUGCUCAACGGCCAUGAGAAUGGCCAUGCAUUCUUUUUCAUAAGUGGAGAGGCCACGGUUCUUGGGGCCGAGUGGCUUGCUCAUGUAGGCGAUCGGGUGCCCAUCUUGCUGAAGGACAGCUCCAACGCCAUAAGCGCAUGCAUCGGUGCCAAUCACGAAUUUCUUACUGAAAUCCGGAAGUUGCAGCACAUGUGCAGAUGUGAGCUUCAGUUUCAGAGCAUUGAAUGCAUGUUGUGUGUCGCUUGACCAGACAAACUGGUGGUUCUUCUUGAGCAGGGUGAACAGCGGUCUUGCGAUGAUCCCAAAGUGUUGUACAAACUUCCAAUAAUAUCCAGCAAGGCCGAGGAAGCUGUGCACAUCUUUGGCGCACUGAGGGACAGGCCACUGUUGGGUCGUCUGGACUUUGCUGGGAUCUUUAGAGACGCCACGUUCGUCGAUUACAUGGCCCAAGUAGGCGAUCUGACGCUGCGCGAAGGAGCACUUGGAUUGCUUGACUUGUUAGUGGUCGUCUCUAAGCAGCUGGAGCACGCGCGUGAUGUGUUGGAUGUGCUCGGACAAGGUUUGGCUGAAGAUGAGGAUGUCAUCGAAGAAUGAGAUGACACAUUUACGCAUGACUGGGCGCAGAGUGGUGUGCAUGCCUCCAUUGAAGGCCGGGCCUCCCGCUACUCCGAAAGGCAUGACACGGUAUUCCCAGUACCCGGAGUGCAUCUGAAAUGUCGUUUUGUACUCUUCGCCUUCUUCCAUUCUUAUCUGAUGAAAUCCGGCACGCAGGUCGAGCUUCGAGAACCAUUUUGCACUGGCCAGUUCGUCAAGCAGUUCGUCGAUGAUUGGUACUGGAAACUUGGCGACCACAGUCAUGGAGUUGAGACGGCGGUAAUCAACGCACAAGCGCCAGGUGCCGUCCUUCUUCUUGACUAGUAGGCCUGGGGAUGAGAAGGGGCUGGAGCUUUUCUGAAUAAUCCCUGCAUCGAGCAUUUCUUGAACCUGGUGUUCGAUCUCUGUCUUCAGUUCAGGUUGGUAUUUGUACGGUCUGGAGUUGACAGGUUGUGCGCCGGCCAUCAGGGGAAUGCGGUGAUCACAAUCGGGGUGAGGAGGCAGGGUCCGUGGGUCCUUGAAGACAUCGGCGAACUGUUCCAGUAGGCGCAAGAUCUCGACAGGGAUCGGCGAAUCUAUAGUACUGUUGCCAUCAAGAGCGCUGAGGUGCACGAUGUGCGCCAUUGAUCCUUGCUUGCAAGCCUUAAGGAGUUCCGGUGCAGAUAUCACUGAGCAUUGAGUUUGAUCUGAAGCAGUGGCAGAUAGUGCCAAUUGACCGGCUGGAGUUGUAACAAGAAUUGCUCGAUCCAGUUGAUGUUCAUAGGGCUAUGCUGCCUUAACCAGUCCAUCCCGAGAAUUGCAUCAUACGAGCCCAGUUUGAGGAUCUUGAAAUCUGUCCUGAAGUCGUGCCCCUGGGUUGUCCACGGACACGCCGGAAUGUAGGUGGUGCAAGGGAUGGUGGUGCCGUUGGCGACGCGCACGCGGCAUGGGUGAGGCAGUGGCUUGGCUCUAGAGAGUUUCGCUGCCAGAGAGCUGUCCACGAAGGACGUAGAGCUACCGGAGUCGAUGAGCAGUAGGAUCUCGUGCCCUUGGAGCCAGGCGUGCAGCUGCAACACCCCUGGAUCUGACGAGCCAUCUUCAGCCUGACGGUAUAGUGUACAGAGGUUCUCCUCGUCAAAUAUCGGUGAUGUUGGUGGCGAUUCUGACUACACGUUGUCUUGGGGAAACAUGGCGAGCAGCUCCUCCACGAUGUGCAUUUGCACCAUGGGCGGACAGGUGUGUUCCUUGCCCCACUUUUCGCCGCACUUGAAGCAGAGUCCCUUCGCGCGGAGAAAUGCGCGAAGGGCGGCGACCUUGCUGGCUUCAGGUGUCGUGUGGGCUGCUUCAGUUCCGCAGCGAUCUUCAGAGAUCGAAGUUGGUGUAGCAGGUCGGCUAAAGAAGGACGGUGUCGUCGAUCGCCCCGCGUGGCCGUGGCCUCGGGAAACGCUGGAGAGGCGCCCGAACGAGUGCUCGUCGUCGGCCACUUCCUCCUAUAGUAGGGCCAGCGAGCAUGUCGUGUCCAGGUCCGGCGGGCGUUGCACGAGCACCACCGCACGGAUAUCCGGGCGUAGUCCCUCCACAAAACGAGUCAGAAAAAAAUACGGGUGAGUGGACUCAGAGUAAGAUAUAAGGUGAUUCAUCAAAGUCUCGAAACGCUCGAUGAAAUCUGCUACUGUGGUAGUUUGUUUGACAGCAUAGAAUUGGCGGAUGAGCAUUUGGUGUUUGUCACGGCCAAAUCGGGUGCAGAGGAGGGAAGUGAAGGACUCCCAAUCCAGUCCAGUUAAUUUCUUCUGGACGGAUUGCAGCCUGAUGCCCGCGGGGCCAGAGAAAUUCAAGAUGGCCAUGGGAACACGGUAGGCGUCGUGGAUCGUGAACAUCUGGAAAUAUUGCUCGCAGAGCGUUUUCUAGAGCUGCGGGUUUUCACCGGUGAACAUCGGAAAAUUCAUGGAUGGUGGUUGACCAAAUUGGUCAGGAUAGAUGAGGACAGGGGAGGGACAGGGGCCGGAAUGAUCGGAAGGGAAGGCGUACCCGUGACCGGAGGUGCCGCUAGUGACUCGUGGGUCACGGACGGCCCCCCUCCGGUGUGAUCGACGUCACCGCGGUCGUCGGGCCCGUGGAGAUCUCCCCAUAAUGGAAGCAGGGAAGGAAGAUGUUGGGGAAUCGCCGCUGCACUCAGCGGUGCGGUCGCUCGCAGCGCCGCGACCGUGGACUCCAGCUUCGCGAAGCGCGCCUCGAGAUCUGGCUUCCAGUGAAGAAGAUCGUCGAUCUGCGAGGACUGCGUCUGCAGCUGCUUGAGGACGUGGGCGGAGUCGGCCUUGGCAUCCUGAUGGAGCUUGUCGAGGUACUCCUUGAGCGCUGGAUCCAUGGCGGCAACAAAGGCUUGCCGCGCUUGGAUUCUUCGGAGAGAGAGUGGUUCUGGUCUCUGAUACCAGGAUGUUAGGUACCGGAUCGAUCUAAGCUCACAAUAUAUUUCACGAAUUCGAAUUACAAUCCAGCCUUGAUGUUCAUGGGGAAGAAGAAGGAAGGUAGGUGGGGAAGGGAGAGAAGCCGUCGUCCGCCCUGAUCCUUCUGGAUGACUGUCUCUCUGUCGUCUGUGGCCUUAAGUAGCGAGCCGCUAGGCGAGCGGGCUCAGCGGGCCCAUUCUGGCCCAACAAAUCUUCGGUUGGGCUGCACGAUCCUCUUGGGCCUGCUGUCGACGCGCCUUGGGGUGAAGCCGGUGAUCGCCUUGGUGGUACGUGUGCUGACAGGGAAGCUGCGCCAUCGCAGCUGCAAAGCGUACCAUCGGUGUUGUGGGGGUUUGCGGCGGCGUGCUGCGAACGACACAAGAGGCGAUGGUGUUGUGAAAGCCGGUGCUACGAGAGAACGAACGUUGUCGUGCUACGAGUGAGGGUUAGCAAGGGGGAUGCAUGUGCUGCGGACGGUGGAUCCCAUGCCGAUGGUGCUUGCGAGGGAGCACAUCUCUUCUGAGCGUGCGGAAGGAGAAUGAGCAGAAAAACAAAAGAUAAUGUGGUGGCAAAGAGGGAGGAUCGCAUGGCCACAAGCGCGUGCAUUUGACAGCCCACAAGGACGUUUCUGUAGUUCAAACUUAAAUUGUAAAAACGUCUUAUAUUUAGUUACGGAGGUAGAAAUUCACAUAGUUUUUUUUUGAGAACGAAAUUCGCAUAGUUUGGUUCAUAUAAAUAAUAAAACGAAAGGAGAUCCAAAUGAACGUACAACAUGCCAAUUCAGCAAGGUACUGAGCAGCGAGAGCUUGAUUAUGUGUAGAUGGCUUGUUUCAAAAGAAAAAAAAAGAUUAUGUGUAGAUGAUGCCGGUAUGUAGCUGGGGAUGCUGAGCAGCGAGUAGAUGCAGAGCUCCAUAUGUUCAACUCAAAAAUAGGAAGGUAAGUGAUGUCGAUAUUAGUAUGUCGUCAAUAUUGAUUUUUUUUACUUAACACAUAACGUAAUUGUGAGCUCAAGUAGAUUUUAGUACUGAAUAUGUCCCCGUAACAGACAUGAGUUGGUGAAAACUAAAUAUUUAACAAUAAACAAAGUGAAAUUGAAUCAGUUUACCUGGCACCUAGUGUGAGUUUGCAUGUAAGUUCUGAACAUGCAAGAACGGUGUUCUAUACGGAGUACUUUCCAAGAUUUCAUAAUCAAGCUUGAUUCCACCUAACUAUUUAAAACGUCAAUUUCAGCAAGGUACUUUCAGUGAUAGGUAAACAAUGGCAUGCAUGUGCAAACAAAUUUAUAAGGCGAUGAAAAGUAAAAUAAAAUAUAGGCUAGGCUACCCUAACUUGUUUGUGAAUAAAGGCUUUGUUGUUGUUGUUGUUGAUGAAAAAUAAAAUAGCGAUGUGAACAGACGGAAAACACCUUCCCCACCCUCCUGCGCCGCUCCCGCGAGGCGACGGGGAGGAACCCUACUGUGCUGCCGCCAACUACCUUUUUCCCGCCCCCUCCUCCUCCCUCGUCGCGCCAGAGGGCGCGGCCGGGCCAAGCCUGGCCGGCGGCGGCGGCAGCGAGGCCUCCUCGCCCCCUCCCAGCGGCCUUGGCGCGGGCUAAUGCGGCUGGAUCGGGAUGCCUCGCUGUCCCAGGGCGAGGCGGCGCUACGGCGCAGCUGCGUGGUGAUGGCGCUGCGCGUGGCGGUAGCGAGACGGGCUGGGCGUUGGAGGGCGUGCUGGUGCAUGGAGCGGCGGGGGUGGCGAGCGGCUGGUGCGGGCGUUCAUGGCGGCAGGGGGAUCUGGUGUGGUGGCGGUCGUGAUGAGGCAGGGCGUCGGUGGCGAGGUUCGGUGUGGCCUGGGCCGGCUCCUGGCUUGGCGCAGUGGUGGUGCGGGUCCCGGGCGACAAGGAUCUGCGGCGGCCGCCCCUGCCCGGGCUCGGGCUGGUGGGGAUGGCGGCACAGUGGUGGUGGCUGGCUGGGCAUGUUGGUCGAGUCCACGUCGGAACCUUCCUGGUCUGGCGUUCGGACGUCGGCGGACGGCGCGAGGAGGCAUCUCCGGUGAGCUUCCUUGGCUGCAACAGCGGGUCAAUUUGGUCUCCAUCCUCGGCGGGCGCGCGGUUGCCGAUGGCCUCGCGGAGAUAUGUGUCAGCUAUCAUGGUGGGGCGACAUGGGGGUGCCCGCAGGGGAGCUUGGUAGGAGGGAUAGGUGGCCUCGAUGCGGUCGCGCCACCUGUUGGCGGCACCGUUUGCUGGUCCGGAUGCGUCCGCUCCUCCUUCUCCCCCUUUCCUCGUGUUUGGCGGGGAGCUUGGUUGGAGGGAUGGGUGGCCUCGAUGCGGUCGCGCCACUGAAGUACAAGGACUAAACUGGUCGAUCCACCGCAGGGUGCGAGAUGUUGAGCUUCCUCGACGCCUACUUUGGGUAUCCGCAAGUCUAUAUGGCCGAGGAAGACACGAGAAGGAGUUAAACAUCCUGUGCAGCAAUGAAUAAAACAUCUAGAGAGGGCAAACAAUUUUAAAAUCACUAUCGCAGCAUUUGAAUCACAACAAUUUAUCCAUUUUAUAUUUAGUUAAUAAACCUUGGUCUAAACUUGUGAUUUUUCAUCAAUCAUGUGUAUGACUUCGUAUAAUCCACAACUUUGUGUGAUGGCCACACCUUGAGUACACUUUAAUCAUGUCUGCUCCGAAAUGAUGUAAUUUCAGUACUUAGACGUUUCAGUGUCAGCAAUAAUGGUGUUGUCGUGUAGGAUGCUUAUCUAAGAGCAACUCUAGCAGACCUCGCAUCCACCCCCGACCCGCAAAAUAACCACCAAAAUGCGGGUACGGGCCGGAAAGUCUGCCCGACCAGACCCCGCAUCCCGCCCCGGCCCGCAAAAAUUUUUAGGGGGCGCGGCACAUUUUCGGCCCCAACCCGAGAAAACCAGGUUUCCCCCUCGCGGCUGCUGUGCCCUGUAUCACAGAGAAGCAGUUGGCAGGAGGGACAUUUCAGCCCGCGCUCUUUUUCUCCUUCCUUCCGCCGCCGCCCGCCCGCCGCCGGCGAUUCCGGCCAUAUCUGCGGGCGGAAUCGCUCCGCGGGGCCGCCCCACACCCUCCCGCACCGAGCCGCUGCACCGCCCCUCCGGAUCCGACGAGAAGAGCCGCCCCCAGUCGCCGCCGCCGCUGGGAUCGACCACCGCCGAGCGCACCACCCUCGUCGCCGCCCUCGGAUCACUCGCCACAGGUUAGUCCCUUUUUUGUGAUUUUCGCAAGCUGUGUAGUAGAUUGACGUGCCGACGUGCGUGCGUGUAGAUGGAGUUGACCCCGUGCAAGAAGUUCUUGCUAUCCGAUUCGUCCGAUUCGGACGACUCGGAUGUGGAGACCAUGCUUGCGACCUUUCGGCAGCAAACAUUGGUCAUGGCGCUUGCCGUGAAGGAGCAUGAAGACGAGUACCGAAAGAGGAGGCGAGGAUCUACUGUCGGGCGUCUGUGCAUUCCGCGGAAUCGCCAUAUUGGAAACGAGAUGUUGAUGCAAGAUUAUUUUUCUGAGAAUCCUACAUAUCCUGCACACCUCUUCCGCAGAAGGUACCGAAUGCGCCGAUCCCUUUUUGUGAAAAUUGUUGAAGCUUGCGAGGCAAAUUGCCGGUAUUUCACUCAGAGAAGAAAUGUCGCGGGCUUAAAGGGAUUUAGUGCAUGUCAAAAAAUCUCCGCAGCUAUGCGGGUGAUAGCAUAUGGCGUUCCGGCUGACUAUACCAAUGAGUUUCUUCGCAUUGGUGAAGAUAGCACAAUUGAGUCUGUGCGUAGAUUUGCGAAAGUGAUUGUCCGUGUCUUUGCUCCCGAUUAUCUUUGGGCACCAAAUGAAGAUGACACAAAGAAAUUGAUGGUAGCUAAUGAGAGGAGAGCUUGGCCUGGGAUGCUAGAUAGCAUUGAUUGUACGCAUAGGAAUUGGAAAAAUUGCCCCAAGGCUUGGCAAGGAAUGUAUUGUAGCAAGUCUCGUGAUGCAACAUUGUGCUAGAGGCCGUAGCAUCCGAGGAUUUAUGGAUUCGGCAUUGCUUUUUUGGUAUGCCCGGCACACUGAAUGAUAUCAAUGCAUUGCAACGCUCUCAUUUGUUUGCUAGGCUUGCUAGUGGUGAUGCUCCUGCUUGUAACUACACUAUCAAUGGGCAUGAAUACACAAAGGGGUACUAUCUUGCAGAUGGUAUAUAUCCUCCUUGGUGCACAUUUGUCAAGAGCAUCAAAAAACCCAAAACAAAAAAAUAUGAAUUUGCAAGGGUGCAAGAGGCAGCCCGAAAAGACAUUGAAAGAGCAUUCGGUGUUUUGCAAUCUAGGUUUGCCAUUGUCCGAGGUCCUCCUCGUUUUUGGGAUAAGAAAACCCUGAAGAACAUCAUGACUUGCUGCAUUAUCCUGCAUAAUAUGAUUCUUGAAGAUGAGAGAGGAAUGGACUUAGAAUUAUUUUACGAUAAUGUGGGUAGCCGUGUCAAACCGGAUAGAGACCCAAACCGCAUUAUAGCUUUUCUUCAGAUAUACAGGGAGAUUGAAAAUGCGGACACACAUUUUCAACUUCAGAAAGAUCUCAUUGAGCACCAUUGGCAAAGGGCUGGGCAGUGACUAAUUUUUUUAUUUAUUUGUAUUUGUAUUCAUGACAAGUUUUGUAUUGCAUUAUUUUAAGUUUGCUACGGUGAUUUGAAUACUUAUUUGUAAUGCGGAUGAUUAUUGUUUUAUGUUUGAUUUGAAUAAUUCAGUUUGUUUUCGAUUGUUGAAUUAUAUUGGAUUUGAGAUUUGCGGGCUGAUGAUUUGCGGGGAUGCAGCGGCGCAAAGAGCAAAACCCGCAUAGCCCACUCGUAAAAAAGCAUAUUCCGUGAAUAUACUUUUUUACGGGUCUGUUUGGGGGGUCUGCAUCUGUGCUAGCCCUCGCCGGUCCGUAAAAGCGGUUUUGCACGAACUGCAAACACGUUUUGCGGGGUCUGCUAGACUUGCUCUAAGCAACAUAGGCUGUCAUUCCAAUGCAUUGCCAAUUUGGCACAAAAUUGAGAACUUGCUCAACUUAGCUGAAAUCACCUGUGCAGGAAGUUGAACGAGUUUUGAUUUGGUGCACAUCUAUGUUAGAUGUGUAUAGCCCUUUUCGGUUUAUCCCCAUUGCAUAAGGGGUCUCUUGAAUUUUACCAUACACAUGUAUAUGCAUUGGCCUUUGGCCCUCUUUUGAAUGUAGUUGCUCAUUCCUAACAUGGUAUCAGAUGCUUAGGUUCCUCUCCCGCUCCCGCACGCUCGCAGCUCCGUGCCUCGCUCCCCUGCCGCCGGUCUCCCUAUCCCUCGUCUCCGGCCACUCGCGCUCAACUCCGGGCGCUCCCCCAGCCACCUGUACGUCGCGGCUGCUCCUGCCCCGCCUGGCGCAUCUCCUCCCGUGCUCCUGCUGCGCCCCUCCCCGCUCGAGCGGCCUCCUACCGCGCCGCUCCCCGCUUGCGCGGGCUCCUUCCCGCUCGAGCGGGCUCUACCGCGCCGCUGCUCUUCUGGAUUGGGUGCUCCGCCGCCAGAUCCCGCUGAGCUCGGGCGGGCCGGGCCUCCUCUUCUCGCGCCGGGCCGCGUCCUUCUCUGGCCAGCCGCCGCUUCGCGCUAGCUGUGGUCGAUCCAGCCCCGCAUCGAGAGCUCUGCUCGAUCUGCUGCUCGAGCCGCUGGCUCUGCCCGCCUCGUGUGCCCGUGCGCGAGCGAGCGCCUCGGCUCGGUCCGGCCGGCCCGUUGACUCCCGGAGACGAGCGGUCUGCUCUUAGUUCGGCCUUUUUGCUCCGGACUCAGUUCGGGCCUCUCGCUCCGGACUUAGUUCAGGCUUCUCAAUCUGCACUCAGUUCGGAUCCAAAAAAAGAGAGCAGAAAUAGGAUAUCUGAGUAUGUCAUCUUCAGGCUAUGUGGCUGUUCCUCGCUGCUCAGUGGUUUUUGAUGGCACCAACUAUGCUGAGUUUGUGGGCUUCAUGCGUAUCCAUAUGCGCGGCCAUCUAUUGUGGGGCGUUCUCUCUGGCGAGGUACCCUGUCCGCCCUGCCCUGUUGCUCCGGUUGCUCCUGUUCCCCCAGUGCCCCCGGUGCUUGCUGCUGAGGCUUCUUAGGCUGACAGGGAUGCAGCCAAGGCUCUUGAUGACGCUGCAGUUGAUGCCUAUGAUCAGCAGGUAUCCGCAUAUUCCGAUGCUCUUUCUGUCUACCGGGAUGAUCUGUCUGCUUACACUUAGUGGUGUAAUGAUGAUGCUCAUGCUGCUGCUGUUCUCACUACGAGUGUCCUCCCUCAGUUUGCCUCGGAGUUCAUGGGCCUCGGCACUGUUGCACCGAUGUGGUCCUACCUUUGUUAGCGCUAUCAGCCCUUUGGUGAUGCUCUAUACCUCUCUGUAGUGCGUCAGGAGCACGCUCUUCAGCAGGGUGACUCGUCUGUUGAUGAAUUCUACUCACAGUGCUCUGCCAUCUGGCGUCAGCUUGACUCACUGCGGACAGUUGUUUGUGGCACUUGUCGUUGUUGCCAGACUAUGAGGUCUGACUUGGAGUUUCAGAGGGUCCAUGAGUUCUUAGCUCAUCUCCGCUCUAAGUUUGAGCCUCGCCGUGCUCACUUGCUUGCUCGCGGUCGUGUUCCUAUCUCAGAGAUACUUGCUGAGCUUCGUGCCGAGGAGACCCGCCUUCGCUCUGUUGGGUUGCUUCUAGUUCCGUCAGUUCUGGCUGCCCGGGCUCCUGUGUCGUCUGCUCGCCUCACUGCUCCGACGCUCCUACCUACUCCUCCAGGGGGGUGAGCCGUGCUCCUUAUGCUGAGAAGGGCACGUCGCGCCAUGACAUCGUCUGUGGUUACUGCUCCCGGCCAGGUCACCCAGAGUCUGAUUGUCGCCAGAAGAAGCGAGACCAGAGGCGCUCCUCCUCCGGCGGGCCUCCUGUGUCUUUCUUGACUCCGUCACUCACCGACCAGGACAUUGUUCGCCUCAAGCGUCUUCUUGCUUCCUCAGGCUCCUCGUCGACUGGCUCUGCUGCUGCUGUGACUGCAUCCUCUUCCUCACCAUCACAGGCAUCUACACAGUCAGAUACAUCUUCGUGGGUUCUGGAUUCUGGAGCUUCCUUUCAUAUGUCUUUUGAUUCUUCCGCGUUAUCUUCUCUCCGACCUCUUGAUUCGCCUGUUAAUGUUCUUACUGUUGAUGGCACAUCUCUUCCUGUUGCUAGUCGUGGUAUUCUUUCCACUCCAUCUUUUUCUGUUCCGAGUGUUUCACAUGUUCCUCGCCUUACCAUGAAUCUUUUUUCCGCUGCCCAACUUACUGAUUCUGGUUGUCGUGUCAUUCUUGAUACCGACUCUUGCUCCAUUCAGGAUCGUCGCACCAAGCUUUGGUUGGUGCUGGCCCCCGGCGCCAUGAGUCAGAUGGCCUUUGGGAGGUUGACUGGCUUUGUGUUCCUUCCGCUGCCACCACUUCUGCCAGCUCUCAUGCUCUUGCCGCCUCUUCGUCUGCGUCCUUCCAGCAGUGGCAUCAUCGACUUGGUCACAUCUGUGGCUCUCGCUUGUCUUCCUUAGUUCGUCAGGGCCUCUUAGGGUCUGUAUCUGGAGAUGUCUCCUUACAUUGUAAUGGUUGCAGACUUGGCAAACAGACUCAGUUACCUUAUCCUACUAGUGAGUCUGUAUCUCAGCGUCCUUUUGACUUAGUUCAUUCUGAUGUCCGGGGUCCUGCUCCCUUUGAUUCGAAAGGUGGUCAUCGCUACUAUGUUUUGUUUAUUGAUGAUUUCUCUCGCUACACUUGGUUCUACUUCAUGAAAUCUCGUAGCGAGGUUCUCCCUAUAUACAAACGUUUUGCUGCCAUGGUUCACACCCAGUUUUCCACGCCCAUUCGUACUUUUCGUGCUGACUCCGCUGGAGAGUAUAUCUCUCAGCUGUUGCGUGGUUUUCUCGCGGAACAGGGUACUCUUGCCUAGUUCUCCUGUCCUGGUGCUCAUGCUCAGAAUGGCGUUGCCGAGCGAAAGCAUCAUCAUUUACUUGAGACGGCCCGUGCGCUGAUGAUUGCUGCUUCCCUUCCACCCCAUUUUUGGGCUGAGGCUGUUUCUGCAUCCACCUAUCUCAUCAACAUUCAGCCAUCGACUGCUCUGCAGGGUGGCAUUCCUAUGGAGUGUCUCACUGGUCGCUCUCCUAACUACUCAGCUCUUCGUAUGUUUGGAUGCAUCUGCUAUGUUCUUCUUGCCCCCCGAGAACGCAGCAAACUGACUGCUCAGUCGGUUGAGUGUGUUUUCCUUGGCUACAGUGAUGAGCACAAGGGCUAUCGUUGUUGGGAUCCAGUGGGUUGUCGCUUGUGCAUCUUGCGUGAUGUGACUUUUGACGAGUCUCGUUCUUACUACCCAUGUUCUUCUUCCUCGAGUUUCUCUGUGGACGACCUUUCUAUCCUUCCCCUUCCCGAUACACCCUGCUAUGUGCCUCAUGUGUCACCUCUUCCUCCGGCACCUCUCCUUCCUUCUCAUUCACCACUGACCCCGUCUUCUCCAUCCUCCUCCUCCACCUCUCCCCCAUCCUCUCCAGUCCGUCGCCCUCUCUCACCGUUUCCUCUUCACUAUACUCAUCGAUCUUGUACUGAGGAUGUCUCCUCUGACGAGCCUUCCACCUCUGGUGCACCUCCUCUCACGCCUCCCCCGGUUCACAAUCUUCGUGCUCGGCCUCGCCCCCCGCCUGAUCGCUACUCCCCUUAUCAGUACGGUCUCUCUAUUAUGACUGAGCCCACUUCCUAUCGCACUGCCAUGACUCAGCCUGAAUGGCAGCUUGCGAUGGCCGAAGAGCUUGUUGCCCUUGAGCGCUCUGACACAUGGGAUCUGGUUCCCCUCCCUUCCGGUGUCCGUCCCAUCACCUACAAGUGGGUCUACAAACUUAAGACUCGCUCUGAUGGUUCUCUUGAGUGCUACAAAGCUCGUCUUGUGGCCCGUUGUUUUCAGCAGGAGCAGGGGCGCGAUUAUGAUGAGACAUUCGCUCCUGUGGCCCACAUGACCACUGUCCGCACUCUUCUUGCUGUGGCUUCGGUUCGUCAGUGGUCCAUCUCUCAAUGGCGAGUUGCGUGAGGAGGUUUAUAUGCAGUCACCACCAGGGUACUAUGCUCCUGAUGGUAUGGUCUGUAGACUUCGCCGCUCCCUAUAUGGUCUCAAGCAGGCCCCUCGUGCCUGGUUUUAGCGCUUCGCCUCUGUGGUGACCGCCGCUGGUUUCUUGCCCAGUGACCAUGAUCCCACGUUGUUUGUUCACACGUCUCCUCGUGGUCGGACUCUUCUCCUUCUCUAUGUUGAUGACAUGAUCAUCACUGGUGAUGACUCUAAUUACAUUGCCUUUGUUAAGGCUCGUCUCCGUGACCAGUUUCUCAUGACUGAUCUUGGUCCACUUCGCUAUUUUCUUGGGAUUGAGAUCUCCUCGACCUCUGAUGGCUUUUACAUCUCCCAAGAAAAAUAUAUUCAGGACCUUCUUGCUCGCGCUGCUCUCGGUGAUGAGCGCAUAGUUGUGACUCCCAUGGAGCUCAACGUUCAGCUUCGUGCCUCUGAUGGUGACCCUCUCCCUAAUCCCACUCGCUAUCAUCACCUUGUUGGCAGUCUUGUCUAUCUUGCUGUUACGCGUCCUGACAUCUCCUAUCCCGUCCACAUUCUGAGUCAGAUCGUUUCAGCCCCCACCUCUGUCCACUAUAGUCAUCUCCUCUGUGUUCUAUGAUAUCUUCGUGGCACGAUCUCUCAGUGCCUUUUCUUUCCCCACUCCAGCUCUCUUGAGCUCCAGGCCUACUCAGAUGCUACCUGGGCUAGUGAUCCCUCUGAUCGACGCUCGAUGUCUGCUUAUUGUGUCUUUCUUGAUGGCUCUCUUAUUGCCUGGAAGACCAAGAAACAGACUGCAGUUUCUCGCUCGAGUACAGAGGCUGAGUUGCGAGCCAUGACUAUGCUGACGGCUGAGGUGAUCUGGUUACGGUGGCUACUUGAGGAUUUUGAUGUGUCUGCUACUACCUCGACUCCCUUAUUGUCAGACAGUACUGGCACUAUCAGUAUUGCGCGUGGCCUGGUGAAGCAUGAGCUCACCAAGCACAUCGGUGUGGAUGCCCACUUUGUGCGUGCUGCUGUGCAGGAUCAGACUCUCGCUCUUCACUAUGUGCCCUCUGAGUUACAGUUGGCGGACUUCUUCACAAAGGCUCAGACUCGCACGCAGCAUAGUUUUUUUCUCUCCAAACUCAGUGUUGUUGAUNNNNNNNNNNNNNNNNNNNNNNNNNNNNNNNNNNNNNNNNNNNNNNNNNNNNNNNNNNNNNNNNNNNNNNNNNNNNNNNNNNNNNNNNNNNNNNNNNNNNNNNNNNNNNNNNNNNNNNNNNNNNNNNNNNNNNNNNNNNNNNNNNNNNNNNNNNNNNNNNNNNNNNNNNNNNNNNNNNNNNNNNNNNNNNNNNNNNNNNNNNNNNNNNNNNNNNNNNNNNNNNNNNNNNNNNNNNNNNNNNNNNNNNNNNNNNNNNNNNNNNNGAUGUGUAUAGCCUUUUUCGGUUUAUCCCCAUUGUAUAAGGGUCUCUUGCACUUUACCAUACACAUGUAUAUGUAUUGGCUUUUGGCCCUCUUGUGAAUGUAGUUGCUCAUUCCAAACAAUCUAGUAUGAUUUUAUCGAGAGUCUUUUGAAACGCCCAAACUCCCUAAACUCAUGCACAUUUGUACCGCCCUUAUUUGAUAUAUAUCCAGAAGGCACCAGAGUUUUCAAACAAUAGAAUCCCACAGCCUUGCUAUCUUCAGUGUACCAUGUGUUUAUACUCCGUUUUCAAUGAUGCUGAUGUUGGAAAGAUCAGACAUACUUGCGAGCAAGCUGUGAUCUCCAUAACACUGAUAUUUACAACUGAAGAUAUCAAAUAUUUACAAUAUCCCCACCAAAAAAUUUGUCAAGCUGAGGACGGUGGCGCGCCAGGCUGUGUUUGCCUCGUCUCACCCAUCUACAUGCCUUGCCUUGUAGCGCCAGACAUGUUUUCUUCCAAAACAUCGUGACUGUUCUUAAAUUUUUGUUGAAAAUAGAACCGGUGCUUAAUUUUCCAAGGCAUCGAGGAGAAUGCAUACCAAUGCACCAACACCAAAGAGCAAUUUCAGUCCCAUCAAUUUAAGUUUCACAACAAAACUUGGUCCCAUCAAUUUCAGUUUCACGACAAAACCGUUGCAACAUUCAAACAACUCACCACACGGUACAUCGGAAUGGAUACAUCACGCGACAAACUACUAACUUAUUCCAACACCUUAGAGCUAUUUGUUCCCCAUAACCCAGAGAACAAUGCCGCCACCGGUUAAGCCGAUUCCGACUUGGUGUACAUCCUAAUGGCAACAGCCAGACCAAGUAUGGCCAGGG
rnacentral:lncRNA from 1 species